ACGCACGCUGGCGGCGUGCUUAACACAUGCAAGUCGAACGGAAAGGCCUUUUCGGAGGUACUCGAGUGGCGAACGGGUGAGUAACACGUGGGUGAUCUGCCCUGCACUCUGGGAUAAGCCUGGGAAACUGGGUCUAAUACCGGAUAGGACCGCACUUUAGUGUGUGUGGUGGAAAGUUUUUUCGGUGUAGGAUGAGCCCGCGGCCUAUCAGCUUGUUGGUGGGGUAAUGGCCUACCAAGGCGGCGACGGGUAGCCGGACUGAGAGGUUGGUCUGCCACAUUGGGACUGAGAUACGGCCCAGACUCCUACGGGAGGCAGCAGUGGGGAAUAUUGCACAAUGGGCGCAAGCCUGAUGCAGCGACGCCGCGUGGGGGAUGACGGCCUUCGGGUUGUAAACUCCUUUCGCCAGGGACGAAGCGUUUUGUGACGGUACCUGGAGAAGAAGCACCGGCUAACUACGUG
rnacentral:rRNA from 1 species